UACGGGGGGGGCAAGCGUUGUUCGGAAUUACUGGGCGUAAAGGGCGCGUAGGCGGCCUGCUAAGUCACACGUGAAAUCCCUCGGCUCAACCGGGGAACUGCGUGUGAUACUGGCGGGCUUGAAUUCGGGAGAGGGAUGUGGAAUUCCAGGUGUAGCGGUGAAAUGCGUAGAUAUCGGGGAGGAACAUCAGUGGCGAAGGCGGCUACCUGGCCCAAUACUGACACUCAGGUGCGACAGCGUGGGGAGCAAACAGGG
rnacentral:rRNA from 1 species